rnacentral:rRNA from 1 species
GCAUCUAAGCGGGAAGCCUACCUCAAGAUAAGAUUUCCCUAGGACUUUAUGUCCUCUAAAGAGCCGUUCGAGACUAGGACGUUGAUAGGUUGGAUGUGGAAGCAUAGUGAUAUGUGAAGCUGACCAAUACUAAUUGCUCGUGAGGCUUGACUAU